GUCCGCUCGAGCUCUUUGGCGCUGAAGUGGGGCGUGGACGGCACCUCACAUCCGAGAUGGGAUUAUCUCGUCACGAGGAUCACGGCGGACGCAAUGGAUCAGAUGGUGCCCGGACACCUCAAUGUCAAGAAAGCAAAUUUUUGGAAAAAUCCCGUCAUAUAACAAAAAGGAAAUAGGCACAUUUCGUCUCGUGCUCUUUUGUUAUGAUUAUUUCAGCCCUUUUGGAGGGAAUAACAAAGAAAACAUUCACAGAAAUUAUGGACCGACUGUUUCGGUCUCCGGUGAAGAAUCAAUUUGACAAUCAAGUCUUGCAUCUGUAUCUCAGAUGCGUUUGAUUCAAUUACUGGAGUGAUCGAUUAGGACGACUGUACACGCGGCGAUAAUGAAAUGAUAAAUGCUUUCUCAAGAAAAAAAAUGG